rnacentral:lncRNA from 1 species
CACACACACACACACACAAGUACAUUUGUACACACAGUUCUAUGUGUAUACAUACAUGCAAAUACAUAGAUAUCAAGGUUUUAUCUAUUGUGUAGUUAAGUUAUUGUUACUAAUGUUAAUACUUCAGACCUAAGACUUAAAAUGAAAUUUUCUCAUUACCUUAAAGACUGGUAUUCCUUGUUUAUGAAUCACUCUCUUAUCCACUGGUGUUUUAAAAAAUAAUUUAUAAAAUG